UGUAGUAUUGUCUUUUGGAUGUCUAUUUUGCUAGUGCUAGUAGGUCAACAAAUUUGAAUGUUCAGUGCUCAACAUUCCAGUAUUAUGUUUUAUCCUUGAAUCUUUUAAGGAAAUUAUAAUUCCUAUGCUUGCAUACUUGCGAAAGAAAAAAUGUACUGGUCGGUUCAGUUAAACUUGAAGCAGCGCCUGUUUGGCUAGACCUUAUAACUGGCGCUGAACUAGCCAAAUUAUCAGAGCAGUCUGAACCCUAUCCUUAACCGCCCACUCAUUUUAAGCUUUGGGAAUUUCUCUUUUGUAUGGGAUAGGGACCAUGGGCAGGAUCUAAACCUCUACCUCAUGAAACCCAAGCACAAAAAUCAUCUCAUGAGCAUUUCUACUUGUUAUUAUGUUGAUGUUUCAAUUAAUGAAUGCAUAUACUUUCUUGUUGGGCACAUAAUACUAUUAACGUAGAGAAUACAUUAACUUAAUGAUAUUAAUCCUGGAUGUUGAAGUUUGGAAAAUGCUAGUAUACUCGAACUCUGCUUGCUUAUCGUUGUUAUCCUCAAAUGAUGUGUAAUUUGUCAUAUUUUGCAGAUCACGGUUCUUGGGACAUCAGGACUUUCAGGAUCCUACAUUGAGCAAAGAGCUUGACUGUAUGGACAUACAUUCAGCGGUGGGCAUGCCUCUUUUCCUUGGGAAGAUAUCCUCUGCACCCUUUGUUGAGCAUCCAAAACUGCAGUGUAAUGCUUAAUUUAUUCAAUCGUAAUUCAAUUGGUUGGUUUGGCAUUCAAAAGUUUCCACUGAUAUAUUAAUAUAGACAAACAUUAUUUGAAGGGAAAUUUAUCAACAAGUACCCAAAAGAUGAACUAUUUAAGAUCUCACUCAGUCUUUGAUUGAACUUCAAAUAGCCCAUCAAAGGGCACAAUCAUGAGCCAGAGUAGUUGAUAGUUAAAGUGUGUUUUGAGGGUGAAAUGCUAUGCGGUUGAUGUUUUAUGUGUGGUUAAAAUUCCCUUAUUUGAAAUGUACCUAUUGAGAUUUCAUGGUCAAAGAAAAUGGACGUGAACCUGUCCAAACAGGAUCGCCACACUUUUUGUGUUGGACCCAGUCCAGCUUAGUUCCAGUCUAAUAUAAAUAAGGUGUAUUUGAACUAAUGUCGAAUACUUUAUUGUGUCUUGCAGGCUGUGUCCCUUGUCAAAUGAGCAUCAAAAGCUAUGCAUGCAGCAUAUAAGCGCUACGUGGCAUAUUUGGACUCUUUUGGGCCUGAUGAGACAUAUCUGAGAAAGAAGGUCGAGACAGAGCUGGGGACAAAGAUGAUGCAUCUAAAGAUGCGAUGUGGUGGCCUUGAUUCUGAAUGGGGGACGGUAAAAUUUCAUGUAGUAUUGUCUUUUGGAUGUCUAUUUUGCUAGUGCUAGUAGGUCAACAAAUUUGAAUGUUCAGUGCUCAACAUUCCAGUAUUAUGUUUUAUCCUUGAAUCUUUUAAGGAAAUUAUAAUUCCUAUGCUUGCGUACUUGCGAAAGAAAAAAUAUACUGGUCGGUCCAGUUAAACUUGAAGCAGUGCCUGUUUGGCUAGACCUUAUAACUGGCGCUGAACUAGCCAAAUUAUCAGAGCAGUCUGAACCCUAUCCUUAACCCCCCACUCAUUUUAAGCUUUGGGAAUUUCUCUUUUGUAUGGAAUAGGGACCAUGGGCAGGAUCUAAACCUCUACCUCAUGAAACCCAAGCACAAAAAUCAUCUCAUGAGCAUUUCUACUUGUUAUUAUGUUGAUGUUUCAAUUAAUGAAUGCAUAUACUUUCUUGUUGGGCACAUAAUACUAUUAACGUAGAGAAUACAUUAACUUAAUGAUAUUAAUCCUGGAUGUUGAAGUUUGGAAAAUGCUAGUAUACUCGAACUCUG
rnacentral:lncRNA from 1 species